UACGUAGGGUGCAAGCGUUAAUCGGAAUUACUGGGCGUAAAGGGUGCGCAGGCGGUUCUGUAAGUCAGAUGUGAAAUCCCCGGGCUUAACCUGGGAAUUGCGUUUGAAACUACAGAGCUGGAGUGUGGCAGAGGGGGGUGGAAUUCCAUGUGUAGCGGUGAAAUGCGUAGAGAUGUGGAGGAACACCGACGGCGAAGGCAGCCUCCUGGGCCAACACUGACGCUCAUGCACGAAAGCGUGGGGAGCAAACAGG
rnacentral:rRNA from 1 species